CAGUGUAGCGGUGAAAUGCGUAGAUAUUGGGAAGAACAUCGGUGGCGAAGGCGUGCUACUGGACCGUAACUGACACUCAGGGACGAAAGCUAGGGGAGCGAAAGGGAUUAGAUACCCCUGUAGUCCUAGCUGUAAACGAUGGAAACUAGGUGUGGCUUGUAUCGACCCGAGCCGUGCCGUAGCUAACGCGUUAAGUUUCCCGCCUGGGGAGUACGCACGCAAGUGUGAAACUCAAAGGAAUUGACGGGGGCCCGCACAAGCGGUGGAGUAUGUGGUUUAAUUCGAUGCAACGCGAAGAACCUUACCAGGGCUUGACAUGUCGCGAAUCUCGGUGAAAGCUGAGAGUGCCUUCGGGAGCGCGAACACAGGUGGUGCAUGGCUGUCGUCGGCUCGUGUCGUGAGAUGUUGGGUUAAGUCCCGCAACGAGCGCAACCCUUAUUUUUAGUUGCCAGCAUUAAGAUGGGCACUCUAGAAAGACUGCCGGUGACAAACCGGAGGAAGGUGAGGACGACGUCAAGUCAGCAUGCCCCUUACGCCCUGGGCUACACACGUACUACAAUGGUUGGGACAAAGGGCAGCGACUCCGCAAGGAAUAGCGAAUCUCAUCAAACCCAGCCUCAGUUCAGAUUGCAGGCUGCAACUCGCCUGCAUGAAGGAGGAAUCGCUAGUAAUCGCAGGUCAGCAUACUGCGGUGAAUUCGUUCCCGGGCCUUGUACACACCGCCCGUCACACCAUGGAAGCUGGUCACGCCCGAAGUAGUUACCCUAACCUUUCGAGGAGGGGGAUUCCUAAGGCAGGGCUAGUGACUGGGGUGAAGUCGUAACAAGGUAGCC
rnacentral:rRNA from 1 species